UUCUGCAGCCAGAUCACCUUGGGAUUUGAUCCUAUGGGAUCUCACAAGCAAAGCAAGGUUAGAAUUGGUCAAUGCUUGGAUGGGAGACCUACAAAUAACUCCCUAGUACAGUUGAGG
rnacentral:rRNA from 1 species